rnacentral:misc_RNA from 1 species
GUGGGAGGGGGCUUGCUCCCGAUGGCGGACUGUCAGUCAAUGAAUAUGGCGACUGAUACACCGCCAUCGGGAGCAAGCCCCCUCCCAC